GACGAACCGUGCGAACGUUAUUCGGAAUCAUUGGGCUUAAAGGGCGCGUAGGCGGGUCGGCAAGUCCGGGGUGAAAGCCCCCAGCUCAACUGGGGAAGGGCCUUGGAAACUGCCGGUCUCGAGGGAGGUAGGGGCCUGUGGAACUUCGGGUGGAGCGGUGAAAUGCGUUGAUAUCCGAAGGAACGCCGGUGGCGAAAGCGACGGGCUGGAUCUCUUCUGACGCUGAGGCGCGAAAGCUAGGGUAGCGAACGGG
rnacentral:rRNA from 1 species